rnacentral:lncRNA from 1 species
UCUGAAAGUGAUUAAGCUUGAUCAUGUUGUUGUUUUUUGUUUUUCACUAGCUUAUGUUUUUUUUAGUUUAGUUCAAUUCUAGUUUUAUUUUCAGACUAUGUUACAAAUGUUGAUUUAUGUUAUGUUUGAAUUUUCUUGUGUGGUAUAUGAUGCUUAGUCUAUUUUGCUUGCAUGCUUGUUAUUUAUCUCUCUUUUUCACCCUUUUUGUUAAUGACAAA